GUAAAGUUGAGUGCAGGUGGAUGUUUUAGUGAAAACGAAGUCUGAGACACAAGCUGCUGAUGUAGGUGUGACACCAAGAUGGAUGAUGCAGACAAGAUCGUGAAUAAAAUCUUCUCAUGGAUGGAUCUACAAAAGGACAGUGUAGACAAGUUGAACGAGCUAGCCAGUGAAUUGGAGGAACAGCAGAAGACUAUUAAUGUCACUAAAGUUGUCGGGAGCUCAGUGUCUGUGGGUGGUGCAGCUGCCAUGACAGUAGCAGGUGUAGUAAGUGUUUUAACAGGAGGACUGUCGAUACCUUUGUUAGCUGGAACAGGAGCAGUGGCAUCAGGUCUUGGUUUGGCUACUAGUGUGGGUUCUGAUGUUGUUGGUGCUGUCUUAUCAAGUAGGACUAUGAAAGAGGCCCAAAAUAUUUCAAAAAGCCUUGAUGAUCUUACAGCAGAAAUCACAGCACUCAUGGAGUCCCUCUUAACAAAAGCAACAGGCAGACAGCAACGGGGUAAAAAUGUUUCUCCAGAAGAAUAUGUGAAGGAGGCGAUCUUGAGAGCAAUGGCCAAACGCAAGGGUUUGAUAUUAAAGGAGAAGGACAGUUUAAUCAAGCUGUUAUCUCAGCUGCCUCUUGAGAAGAUCUUUAAGAACGACGCAGAAUCAGACCUCCUCAAAAAGUCAACAACGGAGGUGCCACUGCUUUCAGACUUUGUUACAGGGUUGGUCUCAGAAAAACUCAUGAAAAAUAAGGUCAGCAAAGCCAAUUCCCUGGGUUUAAAGGCAUCGACUACAGCAGUUGGAAAAAUUGGCAGAGGGGCAGUAGGACUUCUGUUUUCGGUUCCUGAGCUCAUCGAAAACUGUAAAAAUCUGAACAACCAUGAGACAGACGCCAGUCGGUACCUGAGAGUGAAGGCUGGAGCAAUACAAGAAGCUUACGAAGCCAUGAAAUCAGAGCUGGAUGAAAUUGAGGCAACGUGUGCGAGGUUAGCUGACACGAAGUGGAAGAAGUACAGAAAGAGAAGCUGUUUGUGUUCAUGUGCUUCUUCAUCACCAUGAUAUAACCAAAGAGGGAUCACUGAAUCAUUACUCAUCCAGUGUUACGGAUUCAAAUAUUGGGGAUGGAUACGAGAGGAAAAACCAAAAUAACAACACUGGUCCGGCCGGGUUGAGUCAAACAAUGAUUUUAAUGAUCACACGCGUGGGAGAUGGACACCGUACGCAGACAGCAUCAGAUCUCAAAAUGGUGGAGCAUUGAUCAAACUCUUAUAGCCUCUGGUGUCCCCACCUUAUCAUAAAAGCCUAAACAUUCACAUGCUUUCUCUCACACAGCGCCUAAGCUACGACCUUGGCUCCCUG
ensembl:lncRNA